AUGAAUAUCCUAGCCUGGAACUGUCGAGGACUGGGGUUGGACUCGACAGUGGGCGAACUCAGAGACCUGAUUAGGUCAUACAACCCAGCGGUGGUGUUUUUGAGUGAGACAAAGAAGAGAGCGAGGGCAAUGGAGAAGAUCAAGUGGAGUCUUGGUUUCAGAGAUGGGGUUGCGGUUGAUUGUUGUGGUAAAAGUGGGGGCACAACUCUUUGGUGGCGUGACAAUGUUCAAGUUACUGUUAGACCCUGGUGUCAGUAUUUUAUUGAUGCAACAGUUGUUUUUGAUGGCAAGGCGUUCAGAAUCACUGGGUUCUACGGCGAGCCACGCACAGAGCUAAGAGAGAAAUUGUGGGAGGCCCUUCGGUAUCUGAGAAGACAAGAUGACCAACCAUGGAUCUGUCUUGGGGAUUUCAGUGAAGCGCUUCUGCUGUCUGAACAACACGGGGGUAAUUUGUGA
rnacentral:rRNA from 1 species